rnacentral:tRNA from 1 species
AGAGAUGAAGUAUAAUUUUUUACAUUUCAGUUACAUUGAAAAAAAUCCAAGAAUCUAGGGCGUCUCUA